rnacentral:tRNA from 1 species
GCCCCCAUCGUCUAGUGGACUAGGACGCGGCCCUUUCAAGGCCACGACCGGGGUUCGAAUCCCCGUGGGGGCACCA